CCUACGGGAGGCAGCAGUAGGGAAUCUUCCGCAAUGGACGCAAGUCUGACGGAGCAACGCCGCGUGAGUGACGAAGGUUUUCGGAUCGUAAAACUCUGUUGUGAGGGAAGAACACGUACCAACUAACUAUUGGUACCUUGACGGUACCUCACCAGAAAGCCACGGCUAACUACGUGCCAGCAGCCGCGGUAAUACGUAGGUGGCAAGCGUUGUCCGGAAUUAUUGGGCGUAAAGCGCGCGCAGGCGGUUCCUUAAGUCUGAUGUGAAAGCCCACGGCUCAACCGUGGAGGGUCAUUGGAAACUGGGGAACUUGAGUGCAGAAGAGGAAAGUGGAAUUCCACGUGUAGCGGUGAAAUGCGUAGAGAUGUGGAGGAACACCAGUGGCGAAGGCGACUUUCUGGUCUGUAACUGACGCUGAGGCGCGAAAGCGUGGGGAGCAAACAGGAUUAGAUACCCUGGUAGUCCACGCCGUAAACGAUGAGUGCUAAGUGUUAGGGGGUUUCGCCCUUAGUGCUGCNGCUACGCAUAGUCGACUCCGCCGUCGGGAGGUACGGCCGGCGAGGCGUGAACGUUACGAAAUAGAAGUUAGUACGGCGUUGAGACGUUGCCGACGGACGACGACGAGGGAGGAGG
rnacentral:rRNA from 1 species